AGAGUUUGAUCAUGGCUCAGAUUGAACGCUGGCGGCAGGCCUAACACAUGCAAGUCGAGCGGUAGCACAGGAGAGCUUGCUCUCUGGGUGACGAGCGGCGGACGGGUGAGUAAUGUCUGGGAAACUGCCUGAUGGAGGGGGAUAACUACUGGAAACGGUAGCUAAUACCGCAUAACGUCUUCGGACCAAAGUGGGGGACCUUCGGGCCUCACGCCAUCAGAUGUGCCCAGAUGGGAUUAGCUAGUAGGUGGGGUAAUGGCUCACCUAGGCGACGAUCCCUAGCUGGUCUGAGAGGAUGACCAGCCACACUGGAACUGAGACACGGUCCAGACUCCUACGGGAGGCAGCAGUGGGGAAUAUUGCACAAUGGGCGCAAGCCUGAUGCAGCCAUGCCGCGUGUGUGAAGAAGGCCUUCGGGUUGUAAAGCACUUUCAGCGAGGAGGAAGGGUAGUGUGUUAAUAGCACAUUGCAUUGACGUUACUCGCAGAAGAAGCACCGGCUAACUCCGUGCCAGCAGCCGCGGUAAUACGGAGGGUGCAAGCGUUAAUCGGAAUUACUGGGCGUAAAGCGCACGCAGGCGGUUUGUUAAGUCAGAUGUGAAAUCCCCGCGCUUAACGUGGGAACUGCAUUUGAAACUGGCAAGCUAGAGUCUUGUAGAGGGGGGUAGAAUUCCAGGUGUAGCGGUGAAAUGCGUGGAGAUCCGGAGGAAUACCGGUGGCGAAGGCGGCCCCCUGGACAAAGACUGACGCUCAGGUGCGAAAGCGUGGGGAGCAAACAGGAUUAGAUACCCCGGUAGUCC
rnacentral:rRNA from 1 species